rnacentral:rRNA from 1 species
UACAGAGGGUGCAAGCGUUGUUCGGAAUUAUUGGGCGUAAAGCGCGUGUAGGCGGCAUUGCAAGUCGGGUGUGAAAUCUCGGAGCUUAACUCCGAAACUGCAUUCGAUACUGCCGUGCUUGAGGACUGGAGAGGAGACUGGAAUUUACGGUGUAGCGGUGAAAUGCGUAGAUAUCGUAAGGAAGACCAGUGGCGAAGGCGGGUCUCUGGACAGUUCCUGACGCUGAGGCACGAAGGUCAGGGGAGCAAACGGG